rnacentral:rRNA from 1 species
UACGUAGGGGGCAAGCGUUGUCCGGAUUCAUUGGGCGUAAAGCGCGGGCAGGCGGCCCGCUCAGUCGGCCGUGAAAGCGCCGGGCUCAACUCGGCGAGGUCGGGCGAUACUGGCGGGCUCGAGGCUGGUAGAGGGCGGUGGAAUUCCGGGUGUAGUGGUGGAAUGCGUAGAGCUCCGGAGGAACACCAGUGGCGAAGGCGGCCG